UACGUAGGGUGCAGGCGUUAAUCGAAAUUACUGGGCGUAAAGCGUGCGCAGGCGGUCUUUUAAGUCAGAUGUGAAAUCCCCGGGCUUAACCUGGGAACUGCGUUUGAAACUGGAAGGCUAGAGUGUGGCAGAGGGGGGUGGAAUUCCACGUGUAGCAGUGAAAUGCGUAGAGAUGUGGAGGAACACCGAUGGCGAAGGCAGCCCCCUGGGCUAACACUGACGCUCAUGCACGAAAGCGUGGGGAGCAAACAGG
rnacentral:rRNA from 1 species